rfam:Picea glauca, whole genome shotgun sequence.
ACAUGCCUACAACAUAGAGUUAAUACAUCAGAUCCCAUUAGAAAUCCACAGUUAAACGCACUCAGUCUAGAGUAGUACUGGGAUGGGUGAUCGCUCGGGAAGUACUAGUAUUUUACAUGCC